rnacentral:lncRNA from 10 species
GGCAGACUAUGACAAAAAUGCAUAUUUUAAUGUAGUAGGCAAACAGAAGACAUAAUAAAAGCAGUUAUAGCUAACAAGCCAAUAGAGAAGACAGAAUGUUAAACUAAAAAAAGCUUAAUUAACCCCAGUAAAGUCAGUAAUACAGGAAGAAAGAACAGAAAAAAUAAGUAGAAAAUAAGAAUUACAUUAAAUAUAAACAAACUAAACAUGUUGUUUAAAAGGCAGCAAUUGACAGAUUGUAUAAAAAAGCAAGACCCAUCCCUAUGCUGUUUAAAAGAUAUACAGAGACACAACAGAUUGAAAGAAUAGGAAGAAAAAUAUAUACCAUGCAAAUACUAAGCCUAAGAAAAUUGGUGUUAUACCAGUUUAUAACUGAUAGGCUGUAUUAAAAUCAUGCAAGGAGCAUUAUUAGAGAUAAAAAUGGUCAUUUCAUAGUGAGAGGCUAAAGUUUGGUCUAAGCAUUUUUAUAAAGGAUUCUGAAUUUCAGGCAGGUUGGUGAACAUUUGCCUAAAACACCUGCUUUGUGUUUGAGGCUUCUAUUUUUUAAAUGAGGUCAGUUUCUGAUAAAGUUUUGCUGUGCCCCCACCCAAAUCUCAACUUGAAUUGUAUCUCCCAGAAUUCCCACGUGUUGUGGGAGGGGCCCAAGGGGAGGUAAUUGAAUCAUGGGGACUGAUCUUUCCCGUGCUAUUCUCAUGAUAGUGCAUAAGUCUCAUGAGAUCUGAUGAGGUUAUCAGGGGUUUUUGCUUUUGCUUCUUCCUCAUUUUCUCUUGCUGUUGCCAUGUAAGAAGUGCCUUUUACCUCCUGCCAUGAUUCUGAGGCCUCCCCAGCCAUGUGAAACUGUAAGUCCAAUUAAACCUCUUUUUCCCCGCCCCCGAGUCUUGGAUAUGUCUUUGUCAGCAGUGUGAAAACAGACUAAUACAGUUUCCAAAUGGAGGGGGCUGUCUGGGUUGUGAGUUUUGCUGAAUCAGACCACAAUUCAUGGAUCAGUACAGAUCUAUUAGGUGUUGCAUGGGCUCCCAGUGCUGGACAGGUUGAUGCCAGGGACAUAGGCUACAUAACCCUUUCCUAUGAAGAGAUUAUAUCUUCUUGAUGAUACACAUACUUACCUACAACUGACAGCACAAAACAAGAAUUUUUCUCCAAUCACAGGCUUCAAACAUGCUCUGUUGUUUUUCCUUUUCCUACCCCUUGACAACAGUUCAGGCAGAUCUUGUAACGUGGUCCUGUCAGCUACAAUGAUGGUCAUUUUGACAGCUGGGAAUCAUGUUCAGGCAGCAAAUGGUCCUUGGGGUCAAAUUGCAACUUCAGCCUCCCUCUCUCCCCUCUAAAGCUUCUCCCUCUCCCCAGCUCAGCCUGGCCUGUGUGUGACUCAGGACUUCUUUCAUUCUCUCUUCGUCAUUAGGAUUUUUGGGGGGUGGGCAAGAGGAGGGAGAACUUGAAGAAAGGGGUCAAAGCCCCUGUACUUAAUGGGCUCCGCUGUUAUGGUUCCUUCUUUGCUCACAGGGGCUGGCUACGGAUGGUUUUUAGUGCCAGGGAGGAAUGUGCUUGCUGUCUUGCAGUUACAUGUGUGGGUUUUUCAGAAGCCUCUCAGGAGGGUGCCUUACCACCCAGAUCCCUGGCCUCCUGGUGAGGCACUCCCUGCCUGGCCUCUUGUGGCUCCUGUCCCCAGCUCCUGCCCACAACACAGUCCCUUCCUGCUGGGGCUCCUUGGCUUAUGGGAGGUCCACCCUUGCUCCUCCAAAUUCUAUGGCUCUCUUUCCUCAUGGGCUACUCUGCUCAGCCUCCCACCCUCAGAAUUCUCCAGCUGAGAUCCAGGAGACUAUGCCUUCUCUCCCCUAAAGUACAGGCAACUCUUGUCCAAGUCUCCCAAGAAGAGUGUCCCCACAUUCUUUACUGGGGCAGCCCUAGGACAGGACAGGGAUUUCUGCAGCUCGGCAAGCAUCUGGCUGGGGAGGAUGGUCAAGCUCCCUUUCUGCAGCAUCCUGCAUCUCGCUGAGUGUUGUCCUAAGAGCCCUUCUCACCCGGCCUAGGUUGGACAGGAGCACUCAUCUCCCCACUUCUUUCAUAGCCAUCUCCCCCAGGGACUCUUUCUCUCAUUAAUGACCUCCUUUGACUUUCUAGUCUGUGUAUAAGGAGAGGGGAGUAGUGGGGCAGGCUUAUAGGACCACUUGGUUGUUUCACCGGGGCCUGUUAUGGGGUGGGGGGAGGGGGGAGGGAUAGCAUUAGGAGAUAUACCUAAUGUUAAAUGACGAGUUAAUGGGUGCAGCACACCAAUAUGGCACAUGUAUACAUAUGUAACUAACCUGCACAUUGUGCACAUGUUCCCUAAAACUUAAAGUAUAUAUAAAAAAAUAAGCAUUUGGUACUCUCUUUAUAAUUAGGGGCAUUUAACACUAAAAUCCUCAGGCACGGGGUUGUGAUUCUGAGCUGGGCUGGAACAUCUCAUUCACCCUUCUGUCUAUGCACAGAUGAAGGGAAAGCAUCAGAAAACACAUGGCAAUGGACUUGACUUGGGGGUCUCUGCUCUGCCCAUUAGGUGUUAUAAGAUAGGAAAGACAACAGGCUUGGAGUCUUAAGACUGCAGGAUCAGGGCCUGAACUGAGCCUUGAGGGAAUUUUUUUUAACUUGAAAAAUUGCAUUAUAAAAGUUAUACAUGCUCCUUAUACAAAACAGCCACAAAUAAAAUCAACCUUCCUUCCCUCCAGUCUUGCUUCUCUAAGAUAACCUCUCAUGACAGUUUGCUCUGUAUACUUCCUGCUUUUUUAAAAAAUGCACGUAUAAAAGCACAUAUCCAAACCACAAAUAAAGCACACAGAUUUUUUUCAAGAGCACCCCAUGUGUAUUGGCUUGAAGGAUUUCGAACAGUCGUUUUCAAAUAUUUGUGUGCUUCCUGUCCCUGACCUGGAGAGACAGGGCUGCCAGGUAUGACUGUGCAGGCUACACUCUGUCCAAGAGUGCCUGCCUGAAGGAUUUAGUGGGCCUGAGAACCAGCCCGUGUUCUGUUGCCCAGCCACACACCCUGGCUAUGUGCAUUUGGAGAAGGGGCACCGGAGGGAGGGAGGCCUUUUCCUAAUUACAGCAAAGGCACUGGAUCUUUGAGAAAGUUCCUGGUUAGUGAAAUCAGAGAAGGAAACUGACCAGUCUAAUGCCAGAGCAAGGCUAUUGUGUCACCCAAGGCCAUGUGUGUAAAGAAGCAGGUGGACUCUAUACCAAGGACACAUGAGCUGUGAGGUCAGGGACCUCUGGGAACUCAGAAGAACACAUGCUCCUGCCCUCUGGAAGCUGACAAUCCGUGAAUGGAGGAAGUCACACACCUGAAAUAUUUAAUCUUGAUGGAAGAUCAUUUCAUUUUCUGACACCAUUCAGCUUCAGUGUUCAGUUGUAGUUGGAAUUAACACAAAUAAGCUCCUAAUUGUGUUUUGUGAAUCAAAACCUAGAAAAAAAUUAAAUCUUCCUCAAAAAGAAAAUAUAUUUCAUAUAUAUGGUGCCCUCUGGAUACCGUGGAAAGCCUGAGGUUGUCUCAAUCACCUGAGCAGGUUAGACUUUUUAUGCCAGUGUUUGCUGCCAGUGAUGGAUGAGUUUUCUUUCCUGAGGAAUGUGGAUGAUGAAAAAUAGUGACCUCUUUGCUUUCCACAGGGCCCUUCCAUCUGCCCAUGCUGCCCCCAUCUCCUGAUUUGUGAAAUUCAUCAGGUGUGCACCCUUCUAAUGGCUGCUCCGAUGAAAACAGUAAAAACCCAUCAAGCCAGACCAAGAGGAGUGACCUACUUAUAUCAGAUUGUGUUAACUUUCUGAGAAGAGACAGACUCAGACCCAGAGAGGAGAACACCAUGUGGAGAUGGAGGCAGAGGUUGGAGUGAUGCACCUACAAGCCAAGGAACACUGUGGAUGGCAGCAGCUGCCAGAAGCCAGGAGAGAGGCAUGGAGCAGGUGCUCCCUCAGAGUCACCAGCAGGAACCAACCCUGCUGACACUUUGAUUUCAAACCUCUGUCUUCCAGAACGGUGAUAGAAUAAAUUUCUGUUGUUUUAAGCCAUCCAAGUCUGUGGUAAUUUACUAUGGCAGCUCUAGGAAACUAACACUAGUGUAGGAUAAAAAAUUUUCUCAACUCUGUCCCCUUGUUUUCUCUCAUUAUGAUGCCUAUCACUGGCCGGACCCAACUGGAAGCUGGAAAGCAAGGGAACUGUGAUGUGGUCCCUGGAGGUCAGCCUCUAGGUGCAAUGCAGAGCAGAGAAUGGAUGGAGGGUGACUAUAAAUGGAGAAUAAUCCAGGCUUCUAUCUUCUUCAAGUUCAGAGUCAGGUGGAAGAUGACAUGAACCCCAAAGGCUCUGGAGAAACUGCUGUCUCGACCCCUCUUUUCCACCCCUUGCACCUGGUUCUGUUGUGAACACAAGCAGGCUGAGAACACAGCUUGUUCCUCAAAACUGCAUCUUGGACAAGAAAUUGACUUUCCCCGGGGAACAAUGUUAUAAACAGGCGAGGAGUGGUAUGUGCGUGCCGAAGAAAGAGAUGAUGUAGAAGUUAAAAGGCUGGAGAACAAUAAACAUGAAAAGCAGUUCAACGUCAUUUGUAAGCAAGCCAACUCAAGUAAAAAUAACACUGAAAUGAAUUCAUUGCCACCCUUCAGGUUGGCACAGAAGGAUGUGAUGGCUGUCUCCCAGGGCUGGUGAAGGCAGGGGGAAGAAGACUCACUCUCUACUGCUGCAGGACUGGUUGUGGAUUCGGUGAGGCGUAAAGACCCCAGCACAGUGCUGGCUCCCUUUCUCUUCCUGCUCAGCUCCUUUCCCGACAUCUGCAACUUGCAUUGUAAAGCAAAAGACAGGGAAAAGUCAAGGUUCAGCAUCAAUGUCUCAGUGCUGUGCAGUGUUAUUUGCAUAAACCUUCCCAUUCACUGAUGGAAACCCCUGGCAUGUUCAUGCCAAGCAUUCUUAGCAGUACACAUACCUGGGGCAGAUCAAGUGCUAUCAUGAGAAAAUUGACUGCAUUAAAUCACACAGGUCUUAAGGGAAGUGGAAGGGCAGGGUGGGAACUGAUAGCUAAGAACAACAUUUGCACCUUAUGACAAUUGCCUCAUCAUUGUAAUCCCAUUGGGGAAACCUAUACAAAUAUGACUAGUGUAGCUGCAGUGUGUGUUCUGCCCAUAGCUCCUCAGGUAUUUUCACCAUUUCCACCUGUGCCAACCUGAUGUCUGGUAACUGAUACUUUCAUCUUUGUUGUGGUUUGCCUUCAGAGUACAGAAAACCCCUUUGUCCCUGUAAACAGCCAGCAGGAAGUGCCUAUGAAUUAAUCACGCUUAACCACUGACAAGUGGUUUAUGAGUGUUGGUCAAGAAUAUUCAGCUCCCUGGCCAAAAUAAUUCUGAACCCUAUUUUGUGCUAUUUACCAGAGCGCCCCCAGGGGAUUAAGCUUUAAUCUUCCACUGUUGUAGCUGGCUGAAUAAUGGUUGCCUUCCCCUCCCAUACCACUUGCCCUCCUUCCUACCCCUGUUCCUUGCACCUCCCUAUAGGUGGCUUGUCCUCAGAGACUUGGCUCAAAGUCUGCUUCUGGGGCAAUAUAAACUAAGACAAGUGGCAAGCGAGGCCUGCUUAGCCCAUGUUUUCCAGAUAUACAUUUUGAGACUCAGGGACUGGGCUAACUUUGGUCACUUGCUCCUUGUUUUUUUGUGUUAAUCCAUCACCAACAGUUGCACAGCUCAUUCAUAACAUCCACAUAAUGAAAUCAUGUAUCCAGCAAGGGUUGAUAGGUGUAAAUUAUUAACAGUUAUUAAAUACUUUUAUUAUACUCACUUAACUACAGCAGAAAAUGGGGAACUAAGGAUAAGUAACUUGUCAGGAUCACACAGUAGGUGAAGGAGCCGGAUUUCAAACCCAGCACCUAUAUUUUGAACCCCCAUUUGUAAUGACUGUACCAUACUGUACCCUUAAUAGAAUGAUGCCUGCUCUACUGUUUUGUGUCAAACCUUAUUGCCAUUCUUCUUAUAAGUCUUUUGUUUCAUGUAAGUGAACAGAGAAAUAAACAUACAGGCCCAUGGGGAUGUAGAUGGCCAAGUGAGAGGGAGGCUAAAUAGGCAGAGCUCUCUAGAGUUCCCAUCCCUUUUCAACCAAGAAAUUCCAUAUUCAUAUGUUAUAUGAGUACAUUCUCUAUAGGAUGUCACAGGGUACUGGGGAAGUGUUUGGCAGCCACCAGUGUGGUAAGACAUGACCUAUUUUGCACUGUAGCUCUGCGGGGACUCAGGUGUGGAAAUAGAGUCUUCGGAUGGGGGUGUGGGAUCACUAGGAAGCCAUAGGAGGAGCAGGAGAUGAGGUUACUUGUAUCAGAGACUAAGGGACAUUCAGAGCAAGAGAGGCUGGUGGGUUUAAAGAGAUAUUUG